UCUCCGUGGAAACCCUUGGGGUAAACAUGUUGCUUGUUCUUCCAAUAAAGAAUUGAACCACCAGAGGGCCUCAGGCGACUCAGGAGGUUUGGGAAGAGACAAAGGCACAUGCUUAGAGGGUCUGGAGAAGGCGAGGAAGAAGGAAGGGAGCCAAGUAAAACAUGUGACUGACCAGGGGCUUUGGAGAAGACAAGCCCUGCAGGAAGGCACGCAUGUGGUCAUUCUGUCUGUAGCCUCCCAUUCCUCCCUGCUUUCCCCAGCUGCAUCUACCUGGAUCCUGAAUUUGAACCAAGUGGUCCAAACGGCCCGGUCACCUGAGCAACCCCUCUGCAGGAACCGCAGGGUCGGGCCACAGGGAGAGGAGCGAGGCCUUGAUGUCACAGAUCUGCUUUGAGGCCCAGCCUUUGGAUGUGCACUGCUGCCAGUUCUUGAUUAUUAAAUCCCAUUGUGGUGGAAGCAUUGUCUGAUUUGUACAAAAACAAAAAAGCACAAAAACUGGAAGCAGUCUGGAGUCUGUCAACAGGAGAAUGGAUGAAUAAGGGAACUAUCUGAUUGUGGCCUAUUUGAUGGAAUAUUACUCUGCAAUCAAAAGGAACAGACUGAGACUGAUACACGCAGCAUGGAUGAGUCUUCAGGACAUUGUGUCAAGUAAGAGAAGUCAGAUUCAAAAGAUGAAGUCCUUUCCUGAGCACUUACUACAUGCCAGACACCAUACCAGGGCUGGCUACAUACUCUGUUGGGAAGAAGGCUCAAAAAUGAAUCCUCUCAAGCAGACCCGCUUUGGUUUCCACCCCUCUAUUCUGAGAACCCAAGCUCAACCCAUGUGUUCUGCCUUCAGGUAGAAAAUGUCAGAAUCAUAGGGAAGACUAAGCUGAAAAAAGAAUUUGGAGUUCCAAAGGAAUUCUGUGCCACCUGCCGUCCGGCAAUUCCCUUUGCCAGGUAAUGGCAUGACAGUAAAGACGCACUCUGUUCUGAAUAAGCAGAGAACCGGCUUGGCCUAGGACUUACGUUGAGGUGGGUAAUGUUCGAAAAGACCCAUUUGCUAGGGCAUCUCAGGGAAGGCACAGAAGCCUUUGCAGGCGAGGCUGCAGAGAGAAGAAAACGCACGGGAGACAGUCCUGAUUCCAAGGGGUUACAAUUGGUUGGGGAGGCAAGGCAGCCACAAAGAAAGCACAGCAUGUUUGGGCCAGGUGGGUGCUUCCUUAGGACAGCACUGCCUGUUUGGGAAACAGUUGUAGAAACAGAUGGGACAAUCCUUGUCCAUCGAGAUGGGGUCAGAGUGACUGCACGAAAAUAUGGCUACCCCGAGUUACCAUGGCUACCAACA
rnacentral:lncRNA from 1 species